UGGGGAGGAGGCAGUGUUGAGCGUGGGAAGAUGGCGGCCGUGGUGGUCAAACAACGGGCGCUGAGCGUGGGCCCAGCGGCGGUGGGGGCGAAGUUAGACCUCAGGCUUCUGUGUGUGACAGAUCUAGGGCCUACCUCAGUGGAGUGCAGUCGCAGCGUCUGCUGGCAGCAGGCCUCUUGGGGUCCCAGCGGCAGAGGCUCAGACGUGAGAAGAAGUGGCUGGAGUCGGCCGGGCCCUGGAGGACACGGGGCUGGAGCUGGACCUGGAAGUGAUACCAAAGUUCAACAACGACGUCUCCGAGUUUCAGAUGCUGCUCAGUGUUGGCUUAACCUGGCCAGCUGUGCCUUCCUCCUGGACAGGAGCAGCAGUGCAAAAUGCCCAACGGGAAGGCCAUGGUACUUCUGUCAGCAUUAUUCUGGGUACUGA
rnacentral:lncRNA from 1 species